GGCGGCGGCGGCGCCGGGGC
rnacentral:miRNA from 1 species